ACCUCAGAGCAGGCGAGAUC
rnacentral:rRNA from 5 species